GACGAACGCNGGCGGCGUGCUUAACACAUGCAAGUCGAACGUGAUUUUUGUGGAAAUUCUUUCGGGAAUGGAAAUGAAAUGAAAGUGGCGAACGGGUGAGUAACACGUGAGCAACCUACCUUACACAGGGGGAUAGCCGUUGGAAACGACGAUUAAUACCGCAUGAGACCACAGAAUCGCAUGAUAUAGGGGUCAAAGAUUUAUCGGUGUAAGAAGGGCUCGCGUCUGAUUAGCUAGUUGGAAGGGUAAAGGCCUACCAAGGCGACGAUCAGUAGCCGGUCUGAGAGGAUGAACGGCCACAUUGGAACUGAGACACGGUCCAAACUCCUACGGGAGGCAGCAGUGGGGAAUAUUGCACAAUGGGGGGAACCCUGAUGCAGCGACGCCGCGUGAGCGAAGAAGGUUUUCGAAUCGUAAAGCUCUGUCCUAUGAGAAGAUAANGACGGU
rnacentral:rRNA from 1 species